CAGUGGACUGCAAUUGACACUUGACAGUUGUAAAUAAUAAACAAUAAAAUUGCAAUGCAGGUUUUUAACAUAAAAUAAAAAUAUCGAGAGCCUCCGAUAGCCAGACAUGCCACAUUUUAAUGUCUGAAGGUUUGUCAGUCCCUGCUCCUACCAUAGCUGAAUCAACAGCCACGACGAAAAAGCAGUUUAAAAAAAGUCCAAAUCAACUUCAUUGUCGCAAUUAUUCUCGUCAGACAUUGAAUCGGACAGAGAAUUAAUGGUAAAUAAAAAAAAACAACUUCUCUGUCUGAAAACAACUCCAGUACAAACAAACACGCCAAAAGCAGGUGCAGGUUCCUCCAGGGCAAAGAACCCAAAAAUUAACCCUGUUCCGAUGGCUCACAACAAAGGGCACAGGACCUGUUCGGCACCUGCAGUGAAUAAGAUGAAGAGGACCUCACAAAACAGCAGUCCACAUCGUUCGGUGAAGUUAUACCACCUUCUUCACUCGCAUUUCACUAAAAAGGUAGACAAAGGAUAUGCAAGAAAAAAUUAACACAUAGACAAAGAACCUAAUGAAAUUAAGGGUAAUUUGGAUCAUCUUUGUUCCAAAAUCAUCUGCUUGCCUUAGAA
rnacentral:lncRNA from 1 species